rnacentral:rRNA from 1 species
AUACAUAGUCAAACGAAGCGAACCGGGGGAACUGAAACAUCUCAGUACCCCGAGGAAAAGAAAUCAACCGAGAUUCCCCUAGUAGCGGCGAGCGAACGGGGAGCAGCCCAGAGUCUUAAUCAGCAUUAGCAUCAGGAGAACGGUCUGGAAAGUCCGGCAGUAAAGGGUGAUAGCCCCGUAUCCGAAGGUGUUAGUGUUGUGAACUCGACGAGUAGGGCGGGACACGUGUUAUCCUGUCUGAAUAUGGGGGGACCAUCCUCCAAGGCUAAAUACUCCUGAUUGACCGAUAGUGAACCAGUACCGUGAGGGAAAGGCGAAAAGAACCCCGGCGAGGGGAGUGAAAUAGAACCUGAAACCGUGUACGUACAAGCAGUGGGAGCCUUGAUUUAUCAGGGUGACUGCGUACCUUUUGUAUAAUGGGUCAGCGACUUAUAUUCUGUAGCAAGGUUAACCGUAUAGGGGAGCCGUAGGGAAACCGAGUCUUAACUGGGCGAAUAAGUUGCAGGGUAUAGACCCGAAACCCGGUGAUCUAGCCAUGGGCAGGUUGAAGGUUGGGUAACACUAACUGGAGGACCGAACCGACUAAUGUUGAAAAAUUAGCGGAUGACUUGUGGCUGGGGGUGAAAGGCCAAUCAAACCGGGAGAUAGCUGGUUCUCCCCGAAAGCUAUUUAGGUAGCGCCUCGUGAACUCAUCUUCGGGGGUAGAGCACUGUUUCGACUAGGGGGUCAUCCCGACUUACCAACUCGAUGCAAACUACGAAUACCGAAGAAUGUUAUCACGGGAGACACACGGCGGGUGCUAACGUUCGUCGUGAAGAGGGAAACAACCCAGACCGCCAGCUAAGGUCCCAAAGUCAUAGUUAAGUGGGAAACGAAGUGGGAAGGCUCAGACAGCCAGGAUGUUGGCUUAGAAGCAGCCAUCAUUUAAAGAAAGCGUAAUAGCUCACUGGUCGAGUCGGCCUGCGCGGAAGAUGUAACGGGGCUAAACUAU